UCUGAGGUGGGAUCUCCAAAGAUCUUUGUUUCUAAAAUAAAUAACUCUGUUUUAAGGCUAUUUCAACGACUCUGUUUUAACUCUCUCACAUCAACCUACUCGGGGAAGCAAGUGGGCUUCAACAAUUUUGGGGGCUCGUCCGGGUUGUGAGGAGUUUUUUGAUCUGACCUAAAACCAAACUGCACACAGAGGACACAGCGCUGUGGUCGACCUAAAACAAAGGUAAAGCAGAAACCUGUUGUAACGAAUUCUGCAUAUUGAAUACUCUUAAAUAAGAAGGCAAUCUGUGUCUGCAAGUGUGAAGUUUCCAAAUUCAGAGUCUGUUGAAAAUUCAGAGGAUAAAAAAAUAAAAAAAUAAAGUGUGAAUGAGUGAAAAACAAAGUAAGGAACUGGAACAAAAAAAGAAAAGAAUAAAGAGGUUAAAAGAUCAAUUGUAGAUCUUGUCCUUGGUCGUGGCGGACCCCACCGUCCUCUGACGAGGGGACGGAGCCAAGGAGGCAGCUGGGUCAGAGUCCCGGGGAGGUGAGGACCCCCGAAUUCUGAGUUAGAAGAGCGGUGUCUCUUCAAAUAUUGGGUUAGAGUCCCUAGGAGCGGCGUCUCCUUAAAAGCUGAAAGGAUAAAAGUUCCAGAGUUGGUGAGUAUUGAAUAAAUGUGAUAUUGUGUGUAUGUGUGACAUGUCUGGGUAAUUGGGGAUAAAAUAGAUAAAUAAUAGAAUUCAGCGGUGUCUUAAGUGCAGAGCAUUACAACAGUGUCGUGACAAAACUGUUCAAAACAGACAGCGGAAACCUCACGGUGCCAACGGAAGUGGCCGGUUUUUGUCACAAGGGUCAGUUGCUCGGGUGAACUCCAUACAAACUGACUGGCUGUUUUGCUCUGCUCACUGAAUAAGACUUGUGGUUUGGGUGGACCCCAUACACACCGGCUGACUGCUGAAUUUAGAUUUUAAUAAACUAUUGGUUAAUUAAUUACUUAAUUAAUUAAUAGAUUGGUAUAACAUUUUUAAGGAUGGAGGGUGAGUUUAAUAAGGAGUUAGAUGACGGAGGUUGUGGAUCUGAGGGUCGGUGGAAACCUCUGUCAGCACAACUGGAAAAUAUAAUACUGGCAGGGACAGGGGUUACUGAAGAGAAAGAAAAGGAGAAGAAAAUGGAGGGGGUAAAAAAGAAGGUAGAAAAAUGAAUAAAGGAGACAGGGAAAGAGUUAAAGGACAGAGUGUCCUUGGGAAAAUGUUAUGGGAAAAGGUAGCAGAGUCGAAGGCUAAAAAAUAGAAGCCAGGAGGCAGGAAGAAGCAGCAAGUUUAUUGAAAAAAAAAGGAAAAUGGAGGAAGGAAGGGAAAGCAUAUGAGGAGGAGAGGAGAGAAUGGUCCGAGUUGGCGGUCUGGUGGCAGGGUGCCGAUCAUCAAAGAGAAGAAAGAAGAGCGGAAAAGCGAGAAGAAGGAGGCCAACACACCGGUCCGACCCCCACCCUACGCUCCUCCACUGCAUCAUGUGAGUCCCCUCAGGAAAGGUACCCAACAGUGAAAAUAGAGAAAGGACAACUUUUCGUAAGUAUACCAUACCCAACACCCACCGCCUCUGCAGCCAAAUGAGUGUUAGAUAACGCCUCAGUCUCAACACAGUCACUAGAACAGACAGAUAACGAAUCAGCAGUGUCAGAAUAUUGCGCACUGCCAAGACAAGGCCAUCGAUAGAAUAGUACACACCGUACACACACUCCUACCAGGCGAGGAUGAAGCGCCCCAUGAGCAGCAUAAACACCCUAUGACCUUGAAAUAACACACACACUCAACUACGAUAAUUUUCCCCUUAAUCACCACCAGCUAGGGAGUCAAAUACAAAUCAUUUGGACUAGGUGAUGUGCAAGCAACAGUUGAUAAAAUGCCCCAGUGGCAGAAGGCGGAGGAUUGUGGUUAAACAAACUAGAUAGUCUCACUGCAGGACAGACUCUGGCGCUUGGAGACUUUAGAGCGGUGGCAGCCAGAUGCAUGACAGGAGCAGACCUGAGGGAGAUUUAGGAGGAGGCUAAUACGAGACGCUCUACUGAUAACACACCAUUUACUAGGGUAAGCACUGACAUAGGCAAAGCAAUGAGAGAGAAGUAUCCAUUGCCCGACGCUGCAAUGGUUCCAAAAUUACAGUGGGCGCCUGAACAGCACCCAUGCGAGUUCCUAGAUAAAUGUAAGGACACGUGGCUCAAACACACAGGUGUCCACCCAGGGCCAAAAGGGGUACAAAGGGAAUGGUACAGACAGGCGGUGUUAGAGGGUGUUCCAGAGGAAGUUAGAGAAAAAAAACAUUUAGUGCAUCACCUCACUUGAGCAUAAGACGAACAGCAAAAGGAGCGGGACACUAUUAAAGAGCUUCAGGGUCAAUUACUGAAGCUACAACUGAACGAGGCCUGACAAAGAAGAAAAAAGCUGCCCGAGAUACCCACCAUACGGCAGAGGAGGAGGCUCCGGGGGCUGACCACAGUGGGGAGGAGAAUGGACGAGAGGACGUGGGGGAAGGGGCGGACCGCCAAAGGGACAGCCGGGAGGAAACGUGUGCUACUACUGCAACCAAACAAGACACUGGGUGAAAGACUGUUCCAGUAUACCGCAAAGAGGCCGAGGUCGAGGCGAUCCACCACGCCCAGACCUGACGCAGGCACUCAAUCACCAAGCAGCACCUACAGUAUCCAGUAUCCCAUGGUGAACUGGGAUGACUGGGAGGAGUGGGGAACACACCACAGAGAGACCACGACAGCAGACCCAGUGCUGUCUAUAAAGUCAAUCUAUUGGGGAGAGAUCUCCUAAUCAAACUGGGGGCGUCCACACUGUGUAGCCUGGACAGACUCAUAGUGACAUUGCCAGCUGAGAACCACAGGGCAAUACCUCCUCCAGUCUGUGGAAGAGCAGUAUGCGGACAUCUACUGGGCUCUGUUGCAACCUGAAACGCCUGAGCACAACGGCAUCCUCUCGGCCUACCUGCAGUGGAAACCCUGGAUCUCACUGCUCGAGCCCUACAUCUCUCCUCCUGACCCAGCCCACGUGACCCUCUUCUAUGACAGACUGCAAACUGAGUGGUAUCAAGACGGGUUCCAAGAACAGCUACAAGAUAAAAGUUGGCGAAUACACUCCACCAACAUAUAUGUGGCUCCAGAGGGAGUUGUAGCAGCGGUCAUGCUCACAGAAGUUCAACUAGAUUGGUAUAUGGUGUCAGAAGAGGCGGUUCCUCACGUCUCACUAGCAUUACAUCCUAAACAUCAGGCAAAAGAACUGGGAGGUGUGGCUAAACACACUCUGGCUCAGACUGAUUGGACACUCACACAAAUCCCUCAUCUUCACUACUAAGCUAGGACAUAUCACAUUGAUUGACAUGCGACAUGGCUAACCCUCACACUCCGCAUGGAACACCCCUAUCCUGCCAGUAGAAAAGAAAGGGACAGGUAAAUACAGAAUGGCGCAAGACCUCAGAGCCAUUAAUAACAUCCUUUCUACUACUACGGUGCCUGUGCCUAAUCCAUAUGUGGCUCUGACUAAUCUGGAUUCAUCUCAUUCAUGGUUUACAUGCAUUGAUCUGGCUAAUGCAUUCUUUUGUCUCCCAUUAGCAGAAGAGUGCUGUGACAUUUUUUUCAUUUACCUACAAGGGUCGACAGCUGGGGUACACCAGGCUACCACAAGGGUUCACACUGUCACCAGGGCUGUUCAAACAGGUCCUCAUAUAGGCUUUAAGUGACUGCAUUCUGCCAGACAACACCACACUCAUUCAGUAUGUAGAUGGUCUCUUCCUGGCGGCGCCCACAGCUACUGUCUGUCUUACAGCAACCAGCUCUGUCCUGCAACACUUAGCCAGAAAAGGGUUUAAGGUAAGUAAAGCCAAAUUACAGAUAUCUAGGAAACAGGUUUUAUUCCUAGGCAGAGUGAUCUUCCAGAAUUGGCUACUGCCACUGAAUUGGCCUUACCAGACUACACGUUGCCAUUCUGCCUUGAUGUUUCUGAAACAGAAGCAGUUGUUAAUGGCAUUCUGUUCCAGAAAAAAGGGGGAGAAAAAACAGUGCUAAUGUACAUAACUGCAAUAAACAAAUCCAUCAAACACGAGGCAGAAAUGAGGGAACAAUGCAGCAGAUCAUGCAGCAAAGAUGGCGGUUGGGUAUCAGGUUAAACGAGAACUAAUGUGUUCAGAAGAA